UACGUAGGGUGCGAGCGUUAAUCGGAAUUACUGGGCGUAAAGCGUGCGCAGGCGGUUUUGCAAGCCGGAUGUGAAAUCCCCGGGCUUAACCUGGGAACUGCAUUCGAGACUGCAUUGCUAGAGUAUGGGAGAGGGAAGUGGAAUUUCAGGUGUAGCGGUGAAAUGCGUAGAUAUCUGAAGGAACAUCAGUGGCGAAAGCGACUUCCUGGACCAAUACUGACGCUCAUGUGCGAAAGCGUGGGGAGCAAACAGG
rnacentral:rRNA from 1 species